rnacentral:ncRNA from 2 species
UGCCUCUGGAAAGCGGUGGCGACCCCUGGCGGUCCUCACCCGCCGAUGGGGAAAGGCGAUUCACCUGACGGUGGACAGAGUCGCCGAAUCUCUCAGGCGCCUGGCGUGCAGGUGAAGACAGAGGGAGAGGG